GAGUUCCCAUUUGUUUUCUGCAAUCAAGUUUUGCCAAACCUCAAACAAAAGUUUCUUAUACCUAACAUAUAUGAUACAUGCAUGAUGCAUAAGUAGUACAUAUAUAAAGAUCAGAGUAGUGUACCUUUGUCAUCUCCUUGCAAAGGACGUUGAGCCGUAUGAGGCUCAGAGAAGUGAAGAACAAGAACAACGAAAAGGAAGACCAUAAUCCCAAGUUUCUUUUCCAUUUUUUUCUUCUAAUAAGUUUCAAGAGACUUUUUGUGUGGAACACAAACAUAAACAAGAAGAAGAAGAAGAAGAAGUCAAAAGAUUAUUAUAUAUGAGUAAUUGAGUACAGAUCUCUCACUCUCACAUGGUCGGUUUCAUUUACGUUUAUACCCAUCUUUUUUUUGUAACUUCAUCAACCAGACAAAACAACUAGGCGACAACUACUUAUUACACGCAUUUCCAUAAGAG
rnacentral:lncRNA from 1 species